rnacentral:rRNA from 1 species
AGAAUCAACGCUGGCGGCGUGCCUAACACAUGCAAGUCGAACGCGAGAGGGGCUUCGGCCCCAAUUGAGUGGCAAACGGGUGAGUAACGCGUGGGUGACCUACCUUCGAGUGGGGGAUAACGUUUCGAAAGGAACGCUAAUACCGCAUGACAUCCUGCCCUUGAACAGGCGGAGAUCAAAGCCGGGGAUCGCAAGACCUGGCGCUUGGAGAGGGGCCCGCGUCCGAUUAGCUAGUUGGCGGGGUAACGGCCCACCAAGGCGACGAUCGGUA